rnacentral:piRNA from 1 species
UGAACCGAGAGAAAGGGGAUGGAUCCCAGC